GGGUUGUGAGGUUAAGCGACUAAGCGUACACGGUGGAUGCCCUGGCAGUCAGAGGCGAUGAAGGACGUGCUAAUCUGCGAUAAGCGUCGGUGAGGUGAUAUGAACCGUUAUAACCGGCGAUUUCCGAAUGGGGAAACCCAGUGUGAUUCGUCACACUAUCAUUAACUGAAUCCAUAGGUUAAUGAGGCGAACCGGGGGAACUGAAACAUCUAAGUACCCCGAGGAAAAGAAAUCAACCGAGAUUCCCCCAGUAGCGGCGAGCGAACGGGGAGGAGCCCAGAGCCUGAAUCAGUGUGUGUGUUAGUGGAAGCGUCUGGAAAGGCGCGCGAUACAGGGUGACAGCCCCGUACACAAAAAUGCACAUAUUGUGAGCUCGAUGAGUAGGGCGGGACACGUGGUAUCCUGUCUGAAUAUGGGGGGACCAUCCUCCAAGGCUAAAUACUCCUGACUGACCGAUAGUGAACCAGUACCGUGAGGGAAAGGCGAAAAGAACCCCGGCGAGGGGAGUGAAAAAGAACCUGAAACCGUGUACGUACAAGCAGUGGGAGCCUCUUAAUGGGGUGACUGCGUACCUUUUGUAUAAUGGGUCAGCGACUUAUAUUCUGUAGCAAGGUUAACCGAAUAGGGGAGCCGAAGGGAAACCGAGUCUUAACUGGGCGUUAAGUUGCAGGGUAUAGACCCGAAACCCGGUGAUCUAGCCAUGGGCAGGUUGAAGGUUGGGUAACACUAACUGGAGGACCGAACCGACUAAUGUUGAAAAAUUAGCGGAUGACUUGUGGCUGGGGGUGAAAGGCCAAUCAAACCGGGAGAUAGCUGGUUCUCCCCGAAAGCUAUUUAGGUAGCGCCUCGUGAAUUCAUCUCCGGGGGUAGAGCACUGUUUCGGCAAGGGGGUCAUCCCGACUUACCAACCCGAUGCAAACUGCGAAUACCGGAGAAUGUUAUCACGGGAGACACACGGCGGGUGCUAACGUCCGUCGUGAAGAGGGAAACAACCCAGACCGCCAGCUAAGGUCCCAAAGUCAUGGUUAAGUGGGAAACGAUGUGGGAAGGCCCAGACAGCCAGGAUGUUGGCUUAGAAGCAGCCAUCAUUUAAAGAAAGCGUAAUAGCUCACUGGUCGAGUCGGCCUGCGCGGAAGAUGUAACGGGGCUAAACCAUGCACCGAAGCUGCGGCAGCGACACUAUGUGUUGUUGGGUAGGGGAGCGUUCUGUAAGCCUGUGAAGGUGGCCUGUGAGGGUUGCUGGAGGUAUCAGAAGUGCGAAUGCUGACAUAAGUAACGAUAAAGCGGGUGAAAAGCCCGCUCGCCGGAAGACCAAGGGUUCCUGUCCAACGUUAAUCGGGGCAGGGUGAGUCGACCCCUAAGGCGAGGCCGAAAGGCGUAGUCGAUGGGAAACAGGUUAAUAUUCCUGUACUUGGUGUUACUGCGAAGGGGGGACGGAGAAGGCUAUGUUGGCCGGGCGACGGUUGUCCCGGUUUAAGCGUGUAGGCUGGUUUUCCAGGCAAAUCCGGAAAAUCAAGGCUGAGGCGUGAUGACGAGGCACUACGGUGCUGAAGCGACAAAUGCCCUGCUUCCAGGAAAAGCCUCUAAGCAUCAGGUAACAUCAAAUCGUACCCCAAACCGACACAGGUGGUCAGGUAGAGAAUACCAAGGCGCUUGAGAGAACUCGGGUGAAGGAACUAGGCAAAAUGGUGCCGUAACUUCGGGAGAAGGCACGCUGAUAUGUAGGUGAAGCGACUUGCUCGUGGAGCUGAAAUCAGUCGAAGAUACCAGCUGGCUGCAACUGUUUAUUAAAAACACAGCACUGUGCAAACACGAAAGUGGACGUAUACGGUGUGACGCCUGCCCGGUGCCGGAAGGUUAAUUGAUGGGGUUAGCGGUAACGCGAAGCUCUUGAUCGAAGCCCCGGUAAACGGCGGCCGUAACUAUAACGGUCCUAAGGUAGCGAAAUUCCUUGUCGGGUAAGUUCCGACCUGCACGAAUGGCGUAAUGAUGGCCAGGCUGUCUCCACCCGAGACUCAGUGAAAUUGAACUCGCUGUGAAGAUGCAGUGUACCCGCGGCAAGACGGAAAGACCCCGUGAACCUUUACUAUAGCUUGACACUGAACAUUGAGCCUUGAUGUGUAGGAUAGGUGGGAGGCUUUGAAGUGUGGACGCCAGUCUGCAUGGAGCCGACCUUGAAAUACCACCCUUUAAUGUUUGAUGUUCUAACGUGGGCCCCUUACCGGGGUUGCGGACAGUGUCUGGUGGGUAGUUUGACUGGGGCGGUCUCCUCCUAAAGAGUAACGGAGGAGCACGAAGGUUGGCUAAUCCUGGUCGGACAUCAGGAGGUUAGUGCAAUGGCAUAAGCCAGCUUGACUGCGAGCGUGACGGCGCGAGCAGGUGCGAAAGCAGGUCAUAGUGAUCCGGUGGUUCUGAAUGGAAGGGCCAUCGCUCAACGGAUAAAAGGUACUCCGGGGAUAACAGGCUGAUACCGCCCAAGAGUUCAUAUCGACGGCGGUGUUUGGCACCUCGAUGUCGGCUCAUCACAUCCUGGGGCUGAAGUAGGUCCCAAGGGUAUGGCUGUUCGCCAUUUAAAGUGGUACGCGAGCUGGGUUUAGAACGUCGUGAGACAGUUCGGUCCCUAUCUGCCGUGGGCGCUGGAGAACUGAGGGGGGCUGCUCCUAGUACGAGAGGACCGGAGUGGACGCAUCACUGGUGUUCGGGUUGUCAUGCCAAUGGCACUGCCCGGUAGCUAAAUGCGGAAGAGAUAAGUGCUGAAAGCAUCUAAGCACGAAACUUGCCCCGAGAUGAGUUCUCCCUGACUCCUUGAGAGUCCUGAAGGAACGUUGAAGACGACGACGUUGAUAGGCCGGGUGUGUAAGCGCAGCGAUGCGUUGAGCUAACCGGUACUAAUGAACCGUGAGGCUUAACCUUACAACGCCGAAG
rnacentral:rRNA from 3 species